rnacentral:rRNA from 1 species
CCUACGGGGGGCAGCAGUGGGGAAUAUUGCACAAUGGGGGAAACCCUGAUGCAGCGACGCCGCGUGAGUGAGGAAGUCUCUCGGUAUGUAAAGCUUUAUCAGCAGGGAAGAAAAUGAUGGUACCUGACUAAGAAGCCCCGGCUAACUACGUGCCAGCAGCCGCGGUAAGAUGUAGGGGGCAAGCGUUAUCCGGAUUUACUGGGUGUAAAGGGAGCGUAGACGGCUAAUCAAGUCAGAAGUGAAAACCCAGGGCUCAACCGUGGGAGUGCUUUUGAAACUGGUUAGCUAGAGUGCAGGAGAGGUAAGCGGAAUUCGUGGUGUAGCGGUGAAAUGCGUAGAUAUUAGGAAGAACACCAGUGGCGAAGGCAGCUUACUGGACUGUAACUGACGUUGAGGCUCGAAAGCGUGGGGAGCAAACAGGAUUAGAUACCCCAGUAGUC